AGCUGAGCCAAUCCUGCCAAGAGUGUGUAUUGUGUUCCCAGGCCACCCAAUUAGGGCUAAGAGAGUUGACUAAUACUUCUAUGAAAGGCAGGUAAGAAAGGGAAUUCACAAAGGUAUGGGAGGAGACCAGUUUUCCAGAUGCAGGAGAGGCGUCCGUAGUUUCAGUUCCAAGCAACACUGACAACAGAUGGCCGGGACGGCACGCCAUGAUCGAGAGAUGGCCAUCCAGGCCAAGAAAAAGCUCACCACUACCACUGACCCCAUUGAAAGACUCCGAUUGCAGUGCCUGGCCAGGGGCUCCGCGGGCAUAAAAGGACUCAGCAGAGUGUUUCGAAUUAUGGAUGACAAUAACAACAGAACCCUUGAUUUCAAAGAAUUUUUGAAAGGGUUAAAUGAUUACGCAGUGGUUAUGGAAAAGGAAGAGGCUGAAGAACUUUUCCGCAGGUUUGAUAAAGAUGGAAGUGGAACCAUAGACUUCAACGAAUUUCUUCUCACUUUAAGACCUCCAAUGUCUAGAGCUAGAAAAGAGGUCAUUUUGCGAGCUUUUAGAAAGUUAGACAAGACUGGAGAUGGUGUUAUAACAAUUGAAGACCUGCGUGGAGUAUAUAACGCAAAACACCAUCCAAAGUACCAAAAUGGAGAAUGGACCGAAGAGCAAGUCUUCAGGAAAUUUCUGGAUAAUUUUGAUUCACCCUAUGAAAAAGAUGGAUUGGUGACCCCUGAGGAGUUCAUGAACUACUAUGCAGGCGUGAGUGCAUCCAUUGACACUGACAUAUACUUUAUUGUCAUGAUGACAACUGCCUGGAACCUCUAAAGGCAUCACAACAGGAGACGAGGCGCUGGAGACAGACGCUGAUUCCAAAUGAUCAAAUCUCAGCUCAAGACCCAGGACCUUGUUUGAUUUCAUGUUCCUAGAAGUGUUCCCUUCUUGUCAACACAUUGUAUUUUCUAGGGCUAAGAAAACAGCAGAAAUAAAGACAGUAAAACAAUUAACCAUAAACUUGCCUCCACUCAAGCUGUUUCCUUAGAUCUAAUAUAGAAAUUAAAUAAAAUGAUAUCUGUAAAGUUUUUAGUGCUACAACUGAUGCAUGCUUUUAAAGAAUGUCAACCAACUUUGUAUUUCUUUGGCCAUUAAUGAAAAUUUAAAUAUUCUAAUUAUAACCCCACCCCGAUCUGUGUGACUCAACCUUUCUUAAUCUUUUAGAUAGUCUGUUUCUAGAUGGAAAAAUAUUUCUACUUUUAUGAUUAUAAAUCUUUGAGUGUUUCAGCUUCUGUUUGGGAACCAGAAAGAGACCACGUGUUAGCCUCAAUUUUGAAUCUUGAGUUUCACUACCCAAGGUUUUGAAUACUUCAGUCUGGCAAGUAGUUUGAAAAUGACUAUGUUUUCAGGCAUUUUUGAAGACUGAUGUAAGGGUGGAGUCCCCCUCUUUGAUUGAGAGACCCUUGACUAUUCAUAUAUUCCUUUGAUUAAAGUUUUGAAGCUUUGCUGUGGUCUCAGAUUUUACCAGGAACAUUUUAAACUGUGAUGCCAGAAAACUUUACCUGGCAGAAUGUUUGUCUCACCCCUUUCCUGUGGUUGGCUAAUCACGAUGAUGUUUCCAUCAGCACAAAGGGUGUCACAUAGCCAAGGAUCAUAGGCAUAUUCCAGAAUAGAUUUUUAUCUCCAUACUUCAUGGCUCAAGCUUCUUCCUUCAAGGAUUGAUCUCUCAUUUUAUAUUGUUGGCAUAUGAAAAUAUCUUCUGGCAAUGCCAGUAGCUAUAGAAGCAGCCCCAGCUUCUAGAAAAUAUUCACUGAAACUGUAGUUCUUAUGCUGUUUAUUCUUUGUCAUUGAUCAGAGAUAAAACACAGUCAGCAGACUCUGGCUGUGGUGAGUAUAGGUAGUUAUCACUUGUCUUUGUUGUCCAGAAUUCCUUUUUCUCACUUUUGUCUUCACUGUAUUCAUUCCCUGGUUUGGGGAAAUAAGUUAGUUUAAUGGUUUACUUUAUGAUUUUGUAUGUAGCUCUGGAUUUAAAGACUAAACACAUUUACCAUUUUUGUACUAAUUGAUUUAUUUACUUUGUAUUUCACAGACUUGGAAGUCGAAAUCAUUGAGUUAAAAAUUGUGAAAACAGGCACUACCAGAUGAGAAUUACAGCUAUCAAUUAAUAGGGUACCUUGCUUUGUUUCUUGUCUGGAAGCUGAACCCUUAUUCAUCCAAGGGGUAGGCUGGAAAAGAGACUUUGUCUUGAGUUUGAGUGUUCUCAUAUCAUAGAAAUAUAAGAGUGUUUUGCUAAAUUAAAUAACAUAAAUCUUUUUUUUCCAUUGGAUCUGUUAUCUGUACUUAUGCAUAGGCUGAAAGACCAAAAGGUACCAAAUUUUGUGAAGCAAAAUGUGGAAACCCAAAAGAAGUUAUGAAGAAAUGUAGCAAAAAAAAUCUAUACUUUUGUAGUCUGCACGCUGAAAAAUGUGGCUAAGGAAAGAUCCCCCAUUUUCUGGGCAUGAUGAGGUUUCAAGCCUACUGCUUUAGAUAGAAUUACACCUUUGAUUCUAGUUAUGACUCAUGUCUUAUUUAAUGGGGGUACAGAGUGAGCUUAUGACACUGAGCAGGGCCUCCGCUGUCGUCAUCAGCCUUGUCUCCAUCACUGCUAGUUUGUUUCCUGUCUAAUGUGGUCACAGGGCACAGCUGUCCAACUUGAAAUAACCUAUGUCUCAGAAUAUUCAGACACAUUCAGUUAUUCCCUUUUUGCAUUUUGAGUUCUGUGUCUAUGAAUGAGAGUCCAUGAAGUCCUUUUCAGCCUCUGGAAAUUAGAUCUCCUAAGAACCUUAAAGUGGUCCAGGAUUAUACAUUCCUAUUCUCAACAUUAUGUAAGAUUUCCUGAAUAGUCAGCACAUUAUUUAACUCUUCCACUAGUAACAGUGGGAAGAACAUAGAAGAAUAUGUUUUUUAAAAGAUUGAUAAUUUUCUGCUAUUUAACUUCCAUAUUUUAAACCCCAUUCCUUAAUCAAUUUAAAAAGUAAACACUUGUGUCAAGAUACAACAUAAUAAAAAGUUCCCAAAAUGUUUCUCAAGAGCAUCUCACCUGUUUGGCCUGGACCCAUAUAAAACAUUAAACAAGCCAAAGACAAGAGUUUGCCAUUAGCAGGUUUUCAGGAAACAGGACUGAUGUAGAUAAGCAUUCUUUGAUAAGUCACCCAUAACAAUACUGGGGCUAGGUUCUGAAUACUCAUGGUAUAUCUAUGCAAAGACAGUAAAAGACUCCGACACAGCAAGUUCCUGCACACUGUACUUGAAUUCCACUCACAGUGUAAUGAUGUCUUGGGUUGUAGAUUAAGCAGAAUUCUUCCUGCCAGCUUUUAGUUCUGGUUUGCACUAGCAAUUUAAUUUUGAUGGCUUCCGGAUGGCACGCUGGAGAACAGUGUUCCUGCAAUGAUGGUUUAGCAGUAGGCAUGGAGUUGCCUAUCUUACUCAAAUAGAAGCUUUGAAGACAGAGCUGGUCCAUGAAGACUUUGGAUUGACUUGACAUGCAUUGUAGCUUGAAAAUAGAACCCCUUAAUAAGUAUUUAUUGGCCAUAUACUCUUCUGGGAUGUGGAGAUAGAGGAGCAAACUUGAAUAAAUACAAAAAUAAUCAAUAGCUUUCAUAUCAAACUAAUGACUCACAGUUGGCAAAUGAUGAAAGAGGGCACAGUGAAUAAAAAGGAGCCUGGGUACAGAAAUUCUCCACGAGUCCCAGCCAGCCCCUCAAACCAGAGCUUUCUCUCUGUAUAACACUGUGUUGGGAAACUGUGAAGUCAAUUUGAUGAACAUAGGCACCUAAAUGACCGUGUAAACAUAAUCCUUACUUAUUCUUAGAGACAGUGUAUUGUCAUAUGCUUUCUAUUCUCUUUGUCAGUGUAGAUUGCCUCUUGAACCAGGAAGAGAACAAGUAGGUAAUGAUUCUACCCUCAUGAAGCUAUCUUCAGGUACAGUUUGUGAUGCUGAUGCUUAACCAAGUGAACAGAUAAAGUUAACCAAAUAUAUUCUUGGAUGGUGUAUGGGUGCCCUUCUACUUCUGCCUCAGGAAAUUCUAUUAAUACUCUCUGAGUAGUAUACAUUCUGGAUUUAUGUACAUCUAUUUUGGCUGUAGAAUACAAAACAUUACAACUUCCAAUUUUCUAAAUUUAUCAACAAAUAUGAUUUCUUGGAAAUAAUUCAUUAUUCUUUUAAAGAACUUAUUGAGUCAACCAAAAGUUUUAAAUCUUAGAAAUGUGCCUGAUUCAAAGGGUAUCUAAGGGUCUGUUAAAUUAAGUUUUUUGAAUCAAACAACAACUCUUUAAAUGUUAGAAGUGCUAUGACUCAAAGCAAAAAAACAAGGUGCCUGGGGUCUUUCAGACUAUCAUAUAAUAUUAGGGAUAUUCACAUAACUGAUUCUUUUGAUAGCCAGUGUAUCUUAACGUGGUUUAAUUUCUCCAAGAUGCUUAUAUGAAAACUGUGUACUUUUGAUAGGGGUAGUUUCUUUAUUCUGAUGGAAAAACCCACUAAGUUAAUUCUUCAAGUUAUUUCUUCUAAAAGGGAUGACAGGUGAAAUCUGUUGAAAGAAAUAUAAACAAGUGAUUGAUGGGGCUUCUGAGAACACCACUGUGUGGGAAGAAUUCUUCUUGCUGUCUUGGUUGGUGCGGUGAGAGGCUGUGGUGAAACAGCCCUUCCUCUCUGAGAAUAGCAUGACCUUCUUGUCUCAUUCUCACACCUGCUUUGCCAAAGCCAGUUUUCUCCUCAGCAAAAUGUAGUGGAAGGUGAUCCUGAGGAGUGAAAUCCACUGAGCAUGUAAACACUCACAGUAGCUGAGGUUUUGAUAUUGACCUUACAGUCCAAAAGGGAUAGAAAGCCUCAAAAUGUAAUGGCCUUUUUCUUUGGUAUACAUUCUUGUCCUGGUUCUUCAUAAUGGAAUUUACUAAUUUUAAACCUUAGUGCUCAGAGAUUAGUACUGAUUUGGGAACAUAGCUUGAAAGGUUUCAGUGGCUUGUCUCCUGGAAAUGCUUAGGUCUCAGGCAGAAAUGAUGAUAGUCAGCACUUUGAGAGAGACUUAGUAUACAAUGGAGACCUGAAAUUGAGAGCAAAUGACACAUAUAGAGGUGCAGCCUCCUUCUGAGGCUAUCAGGAGACUCUGGUUCUACAUCAAUAGGAUGAAGUUCUACGCAAAUGCAGGCUACUACCAAAUGUCAGGAACUGUAUUACUAAACCCAGACUAGUGCUUUCAUUUCCAAGGGAACUGGGGAAUAAAGUACCUUUGCAUAAGUUUCAUACUUAGUCAUGUCUGAAAUCUUAUUUAGCAAUAUCAUUUAAAAUCCAUUGACUUAAGAUUGUUGUUGAAGCUGCAAAGAAUAUAUGGCAGAUCACUAAAAGUUCAGGCUCUAUGGAUUGAAGACAUUUAGAAAGCACUGAGUAAAAAUUUACUUUUAUUUCAUUUAAACUAAAAAUAAAAAUGGAAGCAGGUUGUUAAGUAAAUCAGUGUUGCUUAGAUGAUUAAAAUAGUUGUGCUUAUAUAAAUUUUACAGGUCUCUGGGAAUAUCUGUUUGCAUAUAAAUGUAAUCAUUAUGCUAGCCAUACAGAGCCCCACAUAUUAUUAAGAAACUGUCUCAUCAUCAAUACUUUAUGUAGCAAGGUGUUCCCAUGUGUGAAUCAUACUUUGGUAGUAUUUUCAAAAUGGAAAUGGAAUACAGAUUGAUUUUAAAAUAACAUCAUGUUUGGUACAGAAGAAUUUUCAUAUUUAUGACAUAAAUGUUAAAAUAUUUUAUUUACGUGCUUGCUUUGGCAGCAGAUAUACUAAAAUAUUGCAUUUUAAAAGUUGCACAUGCUUACAUGGUAAACUACAUUGCAUUGCAUUGCACUGAAAACAAAAACCUGCCUUAAUGAAAAUAUUUGGAAUAUCAUUUCUUGAAAUCACAGAUUGAGAGGGUUCUGAGUUACCAAACUUGAGUUUAAUUUAUAUUAUCAACUUUGCUAUUUUUAUCACAUUCUCAAACUAUGCUUCACGUUAAUAUGACUCUGAUUUAAAAGAAUUUUUAAUUUGCUUGAAAUAGCAACUUACAAUAAGAAAGAAAAUGUAGCUUUCCAUUUCAAUUUUGUGCUUCCAAAAUAUAUUUCAAUUCACUAACAAUAUGCUUCAUUCACAUUCACUUCCCUAAUGGUGCUUUUGGGUCACUUAAAAUGUUAUCAGUAUACUGUUUCUGGUAGAUGAUGAAAUUUCUUAGAAAAUGAUAAGGUCUUUUUCAUAUUGUAUUUUUCCAUACUUUUAAAAAGAUACAACAUUGUUACUCAUAAAAUCAUUGUACUGACAACUGAUAAUAAGAACUUGAAAGUGUGAUGCUGUUAUUUUUAUGCCUACAGGGAUAGACUUACACCUAUCUAGCAAGUCAACCAUAUUUCAGAAGUUUUAGGACUGUGAGGGAUGGUAUAGCUCUACUGCUGGUAUUAAGGAAUAGGAGAGGUUAAUAUGGAAGAGAUACGGUACCCAAUGUUGAUUCCUGCUCUGUGCAUCUUGCUCAUAACCUCAUUUCCCCAUCAUAGAAAUCAAAUUUUUAAUCAUGAAAUACACACAUCCUUGCUGAAUGGCUAAAAUGGGAAAGUUGGCCUAGGACCUCUCAUACGGCUUGUCUCUGCACUCUACCAUGGAACACUGUGUUGCUGUGCGUUCCUAGCCACCCGAGGACCCUGUCAACUUCUCUCUCUCUUCUCUAUUUCUAUCUAUGUGUUUAGUCUUAAUCUACUUUUUCCUAAGGUACUUUUUAUUGGUCUCAUUUAUGCUAUGAAUUUCUCUACCCUAAAAAACAGUAUUUCCUCUUUUUUAUCAAUAGAAAUUUCCUUUCAGGACUUGCCACAAGAAACAAAAUCCUUGGAUUCCAAAUAUGUUAUAUAAAAUGGCGUGAUUUUUGCAUACAAUGUACUUGAAUCCUCCUAUGUACUUUAAAUCAUCUCUAAAUGGCACAAACUUCUUCAUACAAUAUAGGUGCUCCAUUUAGGAAAUGAUGACAUGCAUUUUGUUUUUUUGAAUAACUUCAAAUGGAGAUAGGUGAAUCACAGGUGAAGAACCCAUGAGUACAAAUAUGGUCACAGAGUGUAUACUCUGGAGCUGUGCUGUCCUGUAAAACUUGCUGUGUCAUGAUGAAACUGUCUUUUCUUUGUGCUCUGCAGUGUGGGAGUCAUCAGCCACGUAGGGCUAAUGAAGACAUGCAAUAUGGUUUCAGAAGAAGACUUUUUGAAUUAUUAUGCAGGUGUUAGUGCUUCCAUUGACACUGAUGCCUAUUUUGUUUUGAUGAUGACCAAAACCUGGAGAUUAUGAAGUUCUUCCAAUAAAAGUUUUUUGUAAAUCUGGAAAUUUCAGAGAGGAGAAUGAAUUUAAAGGAAGUCCAGCAUUAUGGAUGUUGAUAAGAUGCAAACUAAAGUUUCUGAAAGAUCUGAAAUUUCAAAAGCAAUAGAGCUUUAAUAAUCUUACUUAGUUAUUUGGAAUAUGUUCAUUGUCAUAAAAAAUCUCAAACUAUAAUUUUAAUUUAGAAGGAAAAGAAAGAAGGUAGGGAAAGAGGAAGGAAAGAGGAAAAGAUGAGAGAAAGAAGAAAGGAAGAAAGGAAAAAGGAAAAAGGAAAGCAUUAACUGAGAUUUGAAAAUUUUUCCUAGAUAGAGAUGUUUUACUUGUUAUGGGUGAUCUUCUUGUAGAUGCAAAUGUUCCCCAUAGUUCCACUUUAUUUACUGUCCUGUGACUCUGUAAAAGAAGAUUAAAAUAGAAGGAAAAGAGGUACAUUUAGCUAUAUAAAAUUUACAGAGCUUACUAAUUUUGUUUCCUUGGUGAAUACAAAUAAAAAGAAGCUUAUUUUAUUCCAAAA